CUUUUUAGUGGUAGUUGGGAGUGGAGGUGGCUAGUGAGAAGAGAAAGACUUUUUCCUUUUUGAGCACCUCUUUGGACCAUUUACAUUCAUUGACAGCUCAGAAGAAUCCAACAGAUAUAUUUAAACAAUUUCUGCCAUAACUGUGGACUAACAACAUAACGGAAUGAAUAGUUAAAUUUACAACGUGCUGCCGGGCGUGGUGGCUCAUGCCUGUAAUCCCAGCACUUUGGGAGGCCGGGACAGUCGGAUUACCUGAGGAUGGGAGUUCGAGACCAGCCUGACCAACAUGGAGAAACCCUGUCUCUACUAAAAAUACAAAAUUAGUGGGGCGUGGUGGCACAUGCCUGUAAUCCCAGCUACUCAGGAGGCUGAGGCAGGAGAAUCGCUUGAACCCAGGAGGCAGAGGUUGUGACUUUUCUAGGAGACUUGGGCAUCACAAGAUCAAAACAGAGACCUUCACACUCAAGUUUUUAAGACAGAGAAAAGUUCCUUGAGCAAAUGCAAGAAACACCAAAAACAAUCCAUUGAUACACUUGGUGACAUUAAUUGAGAAAAAAACAAUAUGGUCUGGCCAUGGAGGCAUGGUAUCCGUAACAUCCCCCAAAGGAGCUAAAGAAGAAAUCCACAAUUUACCAUGAGCAUUUCUCGUCUGAAGAUUGCCAAGCGAUUCCUCCAGGACAUUCCUCAAGAUCAAUUUCUGUUCAUCCACCUUGUCCUGGGAGGGACAUCAAUGGGUUUCCAUGUCCUUUGGCUUCUGGUUGAGUUCACUCAGUGGAGAACCCUGGCAAGAGGCAGGAAAAGGGGAGGAAGGUGAAAACCAUCCAUUUCUUGGAGAAGUGCCACGGUGGGGUUGCAAGUCCCAGGAUCAAGUUUUCGAUGUGUCUCUUUUUCCCGUAAAGUGGCUGAAAUCUGAAGCUGAAUCUGCAAGUGUCAUGGAGUCAUUGAAUCUCACAGUCUCAACUGAUAAAAGUUAUUAAAGGUCGUCUGGUUCAGCCUUCU
ensembl:lncRNA SOX9-AS1 SOX9 antisense RNA 1